UACGGGGGGGGCAAGCGUUGUUCGGAAUUACUGGGCGUAAAGGGCUCGUAGGUGGCCAACUAAGUCAGACGUGAAAUCCCUCGGCUUAACCGGGGAACUGCGUCUGAUACUGGAUGGCUUGAGUUUGGGAGAGGGAUGCGGAAUUCCAGGUGUAGCGGUGAAAUGCGCAGAUAUCAGGAGGAACACCGAUGGCGAAGGCAGGUCUCUGGGCCACUACUGACGCUGAGAAGCGAAAGCAUGGGGAGCGAACAGG
rnacentral:rRNA from 1 species